UCUCAAAGCACUGAAGCUGCCACUGUGUUUGUGAUGAACUAGCAUCUUCCAGAGGUGUGCCAACAGGCUGUGGAUUAUUCUGACCUGUUGGGCAUGGACGCUGGGAAUGGAAGUGAGGAACCGGAGAGCAACCCAACCAUCACGCUAAAUGGGAUAUUGCACUUGGAGCUGAGGAAAUCAAAUAUUCUGAUCACCUGAAAGUGGUGAUGAGGCAGCUCCCAGGAGGAUAACUGGGGCGAAGUGUGAAUAGAUACUACAUGGUCAGGUAAGUUAAAGCAAC
rnacentral:lncRNA from 1 species